UCCUCUUUGUGACAUGGGUUCCUGCCUUCC
rnacentral:piRNA from 1 species